rnacentral:rRNA from 1 species
ACACAUGCAAGUCGAGGGGCAGCAUGUUGGUUGCUUGCAACCAACGAUGGCGACCGGCGCACGGGUGAGUAACGCGUAUCCAACCUACCCUUGUCCAUCGGAUAACCCGUCGAAAGGCGGCCUAACACGAUAUGCGGUUCACAGCAGGCAUCUAACGUGAACGAAAUGUAAAGGAGAAGGAUGGGGAUGCGUCUGAUUAGCUUGUUGGCGGGGUAACGGCCCACCAAGGCUACGAUCAGUAGGGGUUCUGAGAGGAAGGUCCCCCACAUUGGAACUGAGACACGGUCCAAACUCCUACGGGAGGCAGCAGUGAGGAAUAUUGGUCAAUGGACGAGAGUCUGAACCAGCCAAGUAGCGUGCAGGAUGACGGCCCUAUGGGUUGUAAACUGCUUUUAUAGGGGGAUAAAGUGUGCCACGUGUGGCAUAUUGCAGGUACCCUAUGAAUAAGGACCGGCUAAUUCCGUGCCAGCAGCCGCGGUAAUACGGAAGGUCCGGGCGUUAUCCGGAUUUAUUGGGUUUAAAGGGAGCGUAGGCCGUUUGGUAAGCGUGUUGUGAAAUGUCGGGGCUCAACCUGGGCAUUGCAGCGCGAACUGCCAGACUUGAGUGCGCAGGAAGUAGGCGGAAUUCGUCGUGUAGCGGUGAAAUGCUUAGAUAUGACGAAGAACUCCGAUUGCGAAGGCAGCCUGCUGUAGCGCAACUGACGCUGAAGCUCGAAAGCGUGGGUAUCGAACAGGAUUAGAUACCCUGGUAGUCCACGCGGUAAACGAUGGAUGCUCGCUGUUUGCGUCUGACGUAAGCGGCCAAGCGAAAGCGUUAAGCAUCCCACCUGGGGAGUACGCCGGCAACGGUGAAACUCAAAGGAAUUGACGGGGGCCCGCACAAGCGGAGGAACAUGUGGUUUAAUUCGAUGAUACGCGA